UGAUGCGAAAAAUCCACAUUGAAAUCGGGUUUCGUUAACAGCGGGCUGUUAUGAAUAAAUCAACAAGUUCGUUGUCGACGAAACCUGCAUGCUGUGUGGAGAAACAACAAA
rnacentral:pre_miRNA from 12 species